CACGUAGGGCGCAAGCGUUGUCCGGAAUUAUUGGGCGUAAAGAGCUCGUAGGCGGUCUGUUGCGUCCGCUGUGAAAACUCGGGGCUUAACCCCGAGCCUGCAGUGGAUACGGGCAGACUAGAGGUAGGUAGGGGAGAAUGGAAUUCCCGGUGUAGCGGUGAAAUGCGCAGAUAUCGGGAGGAACACCGGUGGCGAAAGCGGCGCGCUGGGCCCCCCCUGACGCUGAGGCGCGAAAGCCAGGGGAGCAAACGGG
rnacentral:rRNA from 1 species